AAGCAGACCGCAAAAAAACAUGUAUUUUAAAAANUUUUUAAUUUUUAAAAUAAAUAAAUUGCGGCGUAUCUUUCAAUUGUCUGCCUUAUCAACUGUCGAUGGUAGAUUACAUGUCUACCAUGGUUGUAACGGGUAACGGGGAAUCAGGGUUCGAUUCCGGAGAGGGAGCCUGAGAAACGGCUACCACAUCUAAGGAAGGCAGCAGGCGCGCAAAUUACCCACUCCCGGCACGGGGAGGUAGUGACGAUAAAUAACGAUCCGGAACUCUAAUGAGUUUCCGUAAUCGGAAUGAGUACAAUUUAAAUCCGUUAACGAGGAGCUAAUGGAGGGCAAGUCUGGUGCCAGCAGCCGCGGUAAUUCCAGCUCCAUUAGCAUAUAUUAAAGUUGUUGCGUUUAAAAAGCUCGUAGUUGAAUUUGUAUCUCAUCAUGUCAUUCGCUCGUAAUUUAAUUUAUGUAGUUUGUUUUGACAUUUUGUAUGAGAUAUAAAUACUGGCGGAUUUUUAAAAAUUGAAAAUUAUUAAAUUUAUUUAAAUAUUAUAUUGUAAUUCUAUUUGUGAAUUUCAAUUAAUAUUUUAAUAUAAAUUGUUAUAAAAUAAUAAUCAAUUUUAAAAUUCGAUGCAAUAAUUUUUUAAUUAAUAAAAUUUUAAAAAAAAAAUUAAUAGAAAAAUUUUUUUUUAAACAAUAAAUUUUGUUUAAAAAUUAUUAUUAAAAAAAAAUUAGAUUUAAUUUUUUUUGAAAAAUUUUUGAUUAAAAAAUUAAAUUGUAUUCUAAUAAAAUUAUUUUUUUUAUUAAAAUGAUUAUUAUUAGACCAGUAAAAUUACUUUGAACAAAUUAAAGUGCUUAAAGCAGGCAAAUUUAAAUGCCAUGAAUAUAACAGCAUGGAAUAAUAGAAUAUGAUCUCGAUACUGUUUAGUAAAAAAAAAUUUCUUUUUUGUAAAAGGUUAAUUUAAAUUUAAUUAAAAAAAAUUAUUUUUACCAAAAAAAAAAUUUUAGAAAA
rnacentral:rRNA from 1 species